UCCCAUAAUAUUUAUAUAUAUACAUAUAGAUUUUAAAAACCUCAUAUUAACAACUUUCAAUUGGAGUUGAUUGUUGAAAAUAUAAUACAUGACGACUGAGAAGUACAAACCCAAAAGAUAAAAAAAACUAGCUUACAUAGAUAAUCACAAUGAUAAAAUUUCCAAUGCAACAAGGAGUCCAAACUUCAAGCGGAGCUAUGGUAAUGAAAACUCAAAAUAAAUAUCUAUCAUAGUGAAUAGCACAGACUAAUUAAGCAAAUAAUAUAUCUUCAAAGCCCGAAGAACAUAACAAAUAGUUCCAUAAAAAUCACCCAUGACUGACGAAGUCGAAUAUUAGACAAACAACAGAUGAAGUUAAACAUGCGACAAGAAAACGACAAGGAAAAGCAAGGCAAGGAUGAUGGUUCGAGCAGAC
rnacentral:lncRNA from 1 species